rnacentral:misc_RNA from 1 species
GAUGAAGAACGUAGCGAAAUGCGAUACGUAAUGUGAAUUGCAGAAUUCAGUGAAUCAUCGAAUCUUUGAACGCAUAUAGCGCUCUCUGGUAUUCCGGAGAGCAUGCUUGUUUGAGUAUCAGUAAACACCUCAACUCCCUUUUCUUUUUUGAAAUGGGAGCUGGACUUGAGUGAUCCCAACACUUUUCUCACUGGAAAGUGGCGGGUCACUUGAAAUGCAGGUGCAGCUGGACUUUUCUCUGAGCUAUAAGCAUAUCUAUUUAGUCUGCCUAAAAAACAGAUUAUUACCUUUGCUGCAGCUAACAUAAAGGAGAUGAGUUCUUGUGCUGACUGAUGCAGGAUUCACAGAGACAGCUUUGCGGCUGACUUUGUAAACUCGAUCUCAAAUCAAGUAAGACUACCCGCUGAACUUAAGCAUAUCAAUAAGCGGAGGA